rnacentral:rRNA from 1 species
UACGGAGGAGGCAGCGUUAUCCGGAAUUAUUGGGCGUAAAGCGUCCGUAGGUGGCUCUUCAAGUCUGCUGUCAAAGAGUGGGGCUUAACCUUGCCAAGGCAGUGGAAACUGAAAGGCUAGAGAGCCGUAGGGGUAGAGGGAAUUCCGGUGUAGCGGUGAAAUGCGUAGAGAUCGGAAGGAACGAAUCGGAUGCCCGAAGGCGGCUAAG